rnacentral:lncRNA from 1 species
UUAAGUUACAAUCAAUAAAACAGAGCAGGAAAUCAUAUAAAAAUCCUACACACAAACAACCUCGAUUGCCUCAAAAAUUUUCUUUGAACCACAGUAGAAACAUUCUUGUUAUCCCCGAAACACGCAGACAGGAAAAAUAUAAUCUUUCCACUAACAAAAGCAUCAUUAGCUCGUAAUCAUCAAGCAUCAAUUCCAAUCAGCUUAAUUAACAAAACUCACGGACAACUAAUCACCAAACUGACAAUUACACGUACAGCUCCAAAACAAACCCAGAUCCAAAAAAUUCACCACAAAUAAACUACUUGGUACUUACCACAUCUCUCCCCACAAAAGCAGUAAGACAAUUGCUAUUUGCUAGAAUGAAAUUACUUGUGACAAUCUUCCCAAUUUUACCGAACAUAAUUAAAUAUAUUCAAACUGGAUUCAUAUACUGGAUUUAAGUUUUAAAAUAAUACUUAAAGGUAUCUAAGCAUAUGUACCACGCAACACAGACUAAGCACUAAAUUAUACAGUCAUGAACUAACACUAACAU